CACAUCCUGGGGCUGAAGCCGGUCCCAAGGGUAUGGCUGUUCGCCAUUUAAAGUGGUACGCGAGCUGGGUUUAGAACGUCGUGAGACAGUUCGGUCCCUAUCUGCCGUGGACGUUUGAGAUUUGAGAGGAGCUGCUCCUAGUACGAGAGGACCGGAGUGGACGAACCUCUGGUGUUCCGGUUGUCACGCCAGUGGCAUUGCCGGGUAGCUAUGUUCGGACGGGAUAACCGCUGAAAGCAUCUAAGCGGGAAGCCUCCCUUAAGAUAAGAUCUCACUGGAACAUAAGUUCCCUAAAGAGCCGUUCGAGACGAGGACGUUGAUAGGUUGGGUGUGUAAGUGCUGUGAGGCAUUGAGCUAACCAAUACUAAUUGCUCGUGAGGCUUGACCAU
rnacentral:ncRNA from 1 species